rnacentral:rRNA from 1 species
UACGUAGGGGGCAAGCGUUACCCGGAAUCACUGGGCGUAAAGAGAACGUAGGCGGUUUGGAAAGUCUUUUGUGAAAGCUCCUGGCUCAACUAGGAGAGGUCAAGAGAUACUUUCAGACUUGAGGACAGUAGAGGUAAGCGGAAUUCUUAGUGUAGCGGUGAAAUGCGUAGAUAUUAAGAAGAACACCAGAGGCGAAGGCGGCUUACUGGGCUGUUUCUGACGCUGAGGUUCGAGAGCGUGGGUAGCAAAC